AUACGAAGGGUGCGAGCGUUAAUCGGAAUUACUGGGCGUAAAGCGCGCGUAGGCGGUUGGAUAAGUCGGAUGUGAAAGCCCCGGGCUCAACCUGGGAAUUGCAUUCGAAACUGUCCGGCUAGAGUAUGGUAGAGGGAAGCGGAAUUCCACAUGUAGCGGUGAAAUGCGUAGAUAUGUGGAGGAACACCAGUGGCGAAGGCGGCUUCCUGGACCAAUACUGACGCUGAGGUGCGAAAGCGUGGGGAGCAAACAGGAUUAGAAACCCUAGUAGUCC
rnacentral:rRNA from 1 species